ACACUCAAGAUUAUGAUUUGCGCGCGUUAAGUUACGCGUUUAGGAAAGUUUUUAAGAAGAGACGAAGUUAGAGAUAUCCACCAAACUCACGUAACUAUUUUCACUUAAUCUAAUUCGAUUGAAGUUUCUUACACUGAAAACGAGUGUUUUGUCAAUGAUGUUAUCUUGCAACGAUUGAUUGAUUAGAGAAAAAAAUUCAUAAGAGAAAAUAUUUUUAUUUGAAUUUCGAUUGAAAGAGAUAGAGAGAUCCAUGAUCGGUAUCAAAAAGAUUGAUUUAAAUAAUCUUCACUGUAUAACUAUCAUCGUUUCGAUGUCACCCCAGCUGUUAUUAGUCGAGUAGGCGGAGCUUGACGUCGAAAAAUAUGUAAGGAAGGGGUAAAAGCUUCGUAAGAAAUGUAGAUAGGUACAUGUGUACUUACACAGGAGACAAAUUUGGUAACAUCAAAACUUGGAAUCUAAUCUUGGAAGAAAACUUAAUGAUGAUAACCGUAAGAAAAAUCAGUUGAAUAUUUUUUUUCGAAGAAGCUACAUAUAUCUAAUGAUGCUAUAAAAGUUCGAUUGAGAUGAUGACCUACAUACAUCGUAAAAAAACAGAAAUAAUAUGCAACAGACCAGAUGAAUUUCUUAAAUAAAGAUCAUAAAGACGAAAAAGGCCGCGGUUAUUACGAUGUGUCGAGGAAAAUGGGAACACGAGAGAGGUGAGUAAAAGGGACCAAUGGGAUCUCUCUCGAAACGUGCACCGGGAGUAACUCGACAUGGCGCGUGGCUCGGCACGGUGGCCGCCAUACUCAUUUCUUUCCCUUUCCUUCAUACGGACCGACCGACCGACCGACCAACCCUGCCUCGAGCGGACAUGCACGACGGUAUGUGUCAGGACGAAAGAUAGAAAAAUAAGAUCAAUGCUCGAGCAAUAAAGGAUAUAUCUUUGGCUUGUUCUCUUUCUCUUUUUCUCUCUCUCUCUCUCCCUCUUUCUCGAGUGAGAAAGAGUCACAAGUUCUAUCAUCGUCGUUAUAUCGUCAUUGUUGUCCUUAUCAAUCUUCUACCACGACUACGUUGUCGCAUGGCUAGUUAAAAAAAAGAGAAUCGACGACAGUAGUGGCGGCUAGUAACCCGCCGUAAGAAGAGUGGACACGCCAUGACAGAUGAUACGGCACGCACAACAAACAAGUCCACUUGCCAAAUAGAAGCCGCGCGGUGGCGGCAGCGGCAUGAAAACCGCGGGAAUCGCGACGAGGGACAUUCGUUAUUUAUAUCGAAUAUAGGAUCGACAAUGAUUGACGAUAUUCGACAAUAGAUUAACGAUUAGAGAUGAUCCUACGUUAAAUCGUAGCGUCGUAGUCUGAUGCACUGUCAAUGUCAGGACACUUAGUAGCAUCAUCAAAGAAAAAUUGGGGACGUUAAUGUUAGGAUGGCAGUUGUUGUACAUACAUACGUACGUACAUACAUACAUACAUACAAUACGUUACCCGCACCCCGCACACGCCGUCACCGAACGAUCCGUCGUUCUUGCAUACGCGAGUGAAAGUUUUCACUCGGCACUUGACAUAAACCGGCCUGAUUUUUCCCGCCGAUCGAAUCGAAUGUGUCGGCGAACGCGAAAGACGAUGCUCGUAAUAUUUCACAGCGAUGAAAAUACUUAUGAAAUGCAGCCGACGAUACGAGGCAACGUAAUAGAGCAGAUCCUCGACCUCCCCCGCGAGUGGGGAACACAUCGGAGACGCUUGACAACUUGGGAACAUAUUUGUUGAUCUCGUGAACGUGAUUACGCGUGACAAUCGAUCCGAACGAUGACGCGUCCUUCAUACGAUAAUCCCUUACCUUUUCGCGACGAUCGUGGAUGAAAAUCACAUGUACAAAAGUAAGAGGGAAACGAAAUGGUAUGCUACGACCAAUGAGAAUGCAUUUAACGAGGACGACAUUUGAUGAAGAGAAAUACGAUUGGUAAUAAUUUGCGGAAUGACAUAGAAGGGACAUAUAUUUGACUCCAUUUCCGUUUCUUGGAUUUGAGUUGUAUUAACCGUUUAUUCGAUGAAGUUAGGUUAUGGUAAGAUGAAAUUUCUUUUAAAAAUAUAUUUUCGUAUAUAGAUAGACACAUAUGUAUAUGUAUAUAUAUAUGAAUGGAUUCGUUUAAAAAUAUUUUGAAUUUUUUA